AGAACUUGUCUCAGCUUGCGAAGCACUGGUGGUUUCAACAGAGGGAACGAGAGGACAUCCUGAACCGGCUACAAGAUCUCCUACUCUACAAAGACAUUUAUCCAAAAAUGUUUGUGAAGUUGCAGAAAGCUGGGGGUGGCGUUUUACAUGUCUCUUGUCAACAUUCUAUUGUUUAUUACUGCUCCCCUUUGUGGUGGCAAGAGUCUGCGGGGGACCAUGCUGAUGCCCUCCUGAGCUUUCAGCACCCCCCAAAUGUUUACAUUUGUGAUGUAGCAGGCCGUGUAGCCAGACACCUCAAUAACAGGACAGAACAAGGUUUUUUUCAGCCAUACGAUGGAAAACUUUGUGAAGCUACAGAAGAGAAUAUUGAAAAGGCAUUAAAGAAAACAUUACAGAUUUCGCUUCCAUGGCUUAAUGUUAGUCAGUUUAAAGGCAUCAAAGAGAUGGACUGUACUGCUGUGCAUUCAAGACCCCAUCCAGUGACAGGAACUAAUGAAUGCUACAGCCUCUAUGAGCGAUUUCACCAGAAAAAUCAAAAACGCCCAGAAGAGAGACUGAGAAGUCUAGAUCUUGUUCCAGAGCUUCGCUCCACUGUAAACACAGCGGUGGCAGAGCAACUUAAUCGAGAACUGGCCUCAAGUCGGUACUUUCUUUGCAUUAUGAAGGGCAGGCAUUUCAUGUUUUCCUUGAGACUCAUGUUCCACCUACAUAAUCAGAAGGUAAAUCAGAAAUUCAAAGAAGACAUGAUGAGAAUUGCAUUGGACCCAUUAGAAGUAGACAGCAGUGGAAGACUUGGUAUUUCUGGAACAGCAAUCAAGAAAGAAGGGGUAAAGGAAGGUAUGGAAAUUAAAGCAUUGCCCCUAGAAGAAGAAAACAGCAAGACCUGGCAGCAUUUUUCAGUUGGUCUUUUUCCAAUUAACCCAUCAAAUGAGGAAAAAUGAGCAGUUUUGCUGAAGAAAAAAAGGAGCAUCUGACCACAAUAAGGAUUGCAAACUCAACAGCCAACCUUCAUGAUCUGAAAAGUUAGUGACCCCCUGAAAUAAUGUGCACUGAGCAACGGUCAACUGGAAAAGUCAGAAUGUCUUGGCUGACCGAUAGCGUGAGCAUUAAUCUCACAAGCACAUUUUAUGACAACAGAAAACAACUUUAAGAUCAAAGAAUGAACUGAGCUUUCUUUUUUACAGGUAGUAGACACAAGACUUUCUCAGCUGGUGGAAGGAACAGAGAAUGUAAAUUGUUCUUAUUUAAAUAUUACUGCUAAAGUUAAUAAGUUCAAAAAAUUUUAAAAUGAUGCUAAAUGUGAUUUCAUUCCAGGUCAUCCUUAUUCCAACAUUUAAUUUUAUACUCUGGGGGAGAGACUGGCAAAAGAACAAAGCCAUUCAAGAUGUGCAUUUAAAAUGCAUAAAGUUAUUCUCUGAUUCCCUAAAAGGGUCAAUAUUGACUGCAUACCCUGUGAAGUCCUGUACUGCAUUUUCCAAUAAAUCCAUACUUCAUUUUAAUUGUAGGAAGUAAAGGAAAACUCAAAAGUGCUCAUUGUGUCGUUGGACACAAAACCCCAGAAUCUGGAAACCACUUUAUUUUGUGGCUGAAUUCUAAUGCAUUAUAAUGCAGGUGUAGACUGAUUGUUCAUAAGCUUUGUUAAUAUUAACUAAAGGGGCGUAGAUCCCAGUCGUCAACACGGUACGUUACUAAGAGUUUAAGCUUGAAUAAUUUAAGCUUUAAGUUUAAUCAUAUUUAGCCAAUGUCUUUACAAAUGGUUGCAACAACCUUUUCCGACAGAUUCAUCUGCUGCAUCCACAAUCUAGAAUGUUGUUUUUAAUAUAUAUAUUUUCCCCAGUAAUGCAUUUCAGAACAUUUGGGACUUGGGCACUUGGACAAUAAAGAGUCCAGCCCAAUGGAAGCAGUCUGAUUCAGAUAACUGUGGGGUGUUUGUUAGCACAGUAAGUAUCUAUCAAUACACACACACACACACACACACACACAUAUACAAGUUAUAUUCUAUGUGAACAUAGAUGGCAGAACUGGAAGUUAGAAGAAUCAAAGCUGCAAAUGAGAAGCUGUUCUGCCAGUAAGUUGAUGGUUUAUUUAUUUAAUCAUUUAUAAAAUCAGCAUCUUCUAUUAAAACAUCAACUUGUGUGAGUGACAACACUAUUUUAAUAUGUUUAUUAUAUAGAC